ensembl:lncRNA
CCAAUGAGGAGGAUCUUGUUCCAGAGGGAAGUUUAUUUUUACCCAUUGAUAAGGAAAAACCAUUUUCAGAAAAUUUGAAGAAGACUGCCAAAAAAGAUAACAUCAAACAUAAAGAGAAUUCAGCAGACAUCUGAUGAUUUGAAUUGCUGACAGUGGAAAUGGAGAAAACACAUACAUAGAGGACUUGCGUGUCUGA